AUGGAUUUGUUUCUCCCUAUCCUCUGCUAUCAGUGCCUGACAUCCCAAAGACCUCUUUCUCAGCCUUGGAUUAAUGGGACUUCAUUUGAUCCUGACUCAAAUAUGAUGCGGUCCGAUCCUGCCUCCUCACUGCAUCACAAAGGAGCUGUGGCAGAAGUGAGGCAUUGGGACUUUGUAUUGUCACUGGAAUCCAUUUGGAACCAAACAGCCAGAAGCACAAAACUGUGCUCAGAAAGAAAACUUGAGGUGUAAAUGGGUUAAUAAACUUAAUAGAUG
rnacentral:lncRNA from 1 species